UAUUGAGUUGCCCAAAACAUUUGUUUGGAUUUUUCCAUUACAUCUUAUGGGAAAACUCAAAUGAACUUUUUGGCCAAUCCAAU
rnacentral:miRNA from 1 species